CCUAAGGACUUUUAAACCUCAAAGAUGAGGGUGGGAACAACAGAGAAGAACCUAUUAUUGGGCCACCUAUCAAGCAAAAAGAAAAUACAGCAAUAGAGAUCACACUGGAUGCAUGGUGAACUGUGGCAGAUGGAGAAAUGGUUGGAAGCCAUGGGACGAAUGCCUAGAGUUUUGAAGGAAUGUAGACAAGGUCUCCAGAUUUGCCACCCAUGCUGAGUGCCGUGGUGUGAUCAUGGCUUAUUUCAACCUCAACCUCCCCCACUCAAGCGAUCCUCCUGCCUCAGCCUCUGGAGUAGCUGGGACUACAGGCACGCACCACCACACCCAGCCAUAAUUUGCCUCUUGCUGUAACUAAAAGGUCACAAAAACAAAGAAUUCUAAAAAAUCUUCUUCUUAAGUGGUAUGUUUAGUAUUUAUCAUGAUGACAAUGUUCUAAAUUGCACCUGCCUCCACUAGCAGAAUGCCAGGAUUACUGCCAGACAGAGAAUUCGGACUGCUGGUCCAGGGACAUAGCUAUGAAAUGCACCAAGGACAGCAGAGUGUGUUUUGGAGAAAGCCAGGUAGCUCUUGAUAGGGCCUAUAUGAGUACUUAUUCCUGCUGAUAGGAAAAAAAUGAUUAGAAAAAUCUCAUUUCUUUAUUCAUUUCUACUCUGAGAGCUUUUUACUUCUAGAAACACGGUCUUAGUUUUCUGUGUUAUUAUGUUUUUUUUUUGAAACUGACAAAAUUUCACAAUUAAUUUAUGUUCAUUCAAAUGUUUAAUAAUUAUACCUUGAAUUUGUCUUAUAAUUAGUAUUUUCUUGUUAUUUCCAACAAGAGAAAGUGUGCAGGAAAAGGGACUAGAUCAGGUUGAGAGAGCCAGGGGUGUUCAGUCAAGCAGGCAGAACUCAGGACACUGAACGGGGUGAGUAUGAGGCAGCCAGAGUCCCCAGACCCGCAGAGGAGGGUCCAAAGGACAGCUUUUCAUGAUCCAGGAAGGAAAUCUCCUUCAAUAACGUCUCUCCUUCAAGAAGCUGGGGGUGUCGCUGGGAUUUAACGUAGAGAUUCCAGUCUUAGAUUGAGGGAAGGAAGGGAGGCAAAAGGAAGGAAGCCUCGCAUCCUCAUGCGAAGAAGCCAGCUUGUAGAAAUGAAGCUCAAAAUGAUCCCUACAGCACAAGCAGUCCAGGGCAUGUGGACUCCUGCUGGGUUGGGGCCAGGACAGGAGAAGAAAGUUUGAUACAGGCCUGAGGCUCGGGAGCCCUGCACUGGCUGUGCGUCUCUACAACCAUCCCAGAGUCGGCCCAGGUACCAGGUCUUCUGGCUCAGAUAAAGAUCACACAUGACUCGCCUGAAAACUUGAGGCAGAGGUGUGCCAUUGUCACAAAAGGCGCUGUCAGGGUGGAGGCUCAGGGAAUGAUAGAGGAGCUCUUGAAUCACCCUGGAGAAAUUUUACCUCGGUCAGACAGCUACAGAGCCGACUUAAUAUUUUUAUUUAAAAUCUAGAUUAUUUGGGGGCUGGUUUGGAAAUGGGGGAGAUCUGUGAGUCCAGGCAUGGUAGCAGGAAGAGAAGAGGCUUCCUUGUAACCCUACUGACUCUUCCUCUCACUUGUCCCAAAAGCACAGGGUGAGAGACAAGAACAUUGGUACAGUGCGUUCAGGAAACUUUUCAACUUUUUAUGUGUAGUGUACCAAAAUAUUUUUUCACACAUGCAAAGACAGUGGUCAGGGGCUAUUCUGGCUUGUUAGAAAAAAGGAUGUGACGUUUUCCAGUCCCUGGGUGGGUCUCAGUUCUCUUAGAGGCUCUGCCUCUCACUCACACCUCUGCUAGAGGAAUGCGAGGAAGCUCUGACAAGAUUGUGAUCUGGGGACACGUUUGCCACCUCAGCGCCAAGGCUGACGUGGGGACAUGGGCUACUCAGUGAACGCACUUUACCCAGGAUACCAAGGGCACUUAAUGAUACCGACAGUUCUGUUUACAUCCUUCUCCACUGCCUCCAGCAUCAUUCAAGGCGUAAUCUCUUGGAAAAGUUUGAUUAGAAUGAAUUCUAGUUUGGCGUAGGUUAUUAUGCACCUAAAUUGGCUAAACUUAGCUUCAUAUAUCAAACAUAAGAUAUACAUCUCUAGAGAUGCGUCUGUGGAGACCUCCAUAGGCACCAGUAUAUAUUAUUCUAAGUUUUACCUCUUUUCUUGUGGAUUACUAACUUUGUGGUUCUCCCUUGAUUAGGUUUAUAUGCAAUUUUCUUAGAAAAUGUCAACUCCAAUUCUGCAACAUACUGAGCCCCUUUAUUGGAAACUUCAAAGUUCCUAGUCCAAUCCUAAUUCUAGAUCUUACUUCAUAUGUUGCUUUUAUCUUCUCUUGGGUAAUGGGUCAUUUCAAGGGUGAUUUUUUUGACUUUAUCUUAUUGGGGAUAUAAGUGCAGAUAAAGGAGAUACAGACGAGCAUUUAAUUUUUUUUUUCAGUGCAGUGAUUAUGGAGUCAGGGUAGUAUUUCUGCUGUGUAUGGUAAACUCCAUAGGAUCUCAUUUAUUCAUGGUUAAAGGCUUUCCUGGGGAAACCAGUAUGCUAACUUCAGGCAGAUAAUAAAACCUGAGGUAUAUGGAGAGUGUCUACUUUGACACAUUCAGGGCUAGCCCUCUCCUGCUGGUGCAGUUCAAUGUGAAUUUAGUCAUUUGUGGUCACUUAACAGCAAAGAGAUCUUUCUACAGAGUCUAGCUGUGCUGAUUAUCAAACUGGGGAAAAUUGAUGGCCAUUUGUUAUGGCUAAUAACACAGGUGCCGGUCAACUUUAUAAAAAUGUAGAAAAGUAUUUGCGGUGAAAAUUAUCCUAACCAUUGUGGAAAAAUGCCCAUCCCACUUCAAUUCAUAGCUGAAUACAUAUAGGAACUACAGUUCUCAGACCUGCAGUGAGUUCUGACCAAUGGAAUUCAGUGGGAUGAUAGAUGCUGCCUUUGAAGCCACCCCAUCAACUGGCUCAUCUCCUCCUGUCUCAGCUCUUUCUCCUGCUGCAUCCUGAUGCAGGACCACUGCACAACCUCACAAACCUUAUGUGGAAAGUAGUGGAGCCACCAGAUGUUAUGGGUAUCCUUUAAUGGAGAACUUUACACUACUUUGAAAUGACAGUUUUAUACUUUUCAUAAGAAAGAAAUAAACUUCCAUUGUACUAA
rnacentral:lncRNA from 1 species